UACGAAGGGGGCUAGCGUUGUUCGGAAUUAUUGGGCGUAAAGCGCUUGUAGGCGGCUACGUCAAGUCGCGUGUGAAAGUCCCCAGGCUUAACCUGGGAAGUGCGCGCGAAACUGACGAGCUUGAGUGCCGGAGAGGGUCGCGGAAUUCCCGGUGUAGAGGUGAAAUUCGUAGAUAUCGGGAGGAACACCAGUGGCGGAAGGCGGACGACCUGGACGGACG
rnacentral:rRNA from 1 species